GCACAAUUUCAAGCUAGACAGUUAAAAAAUAAAAAAAAUAACCUCUGUAAAUUACUCAAGUAAAAAAAAAUGCUUUAGUUGCAUAUUUUGUAAAGACACCUCUGAUAAGUGUGAUCUUUAAGUGUAUCUGAGUUUCUCAACUAUGGAACAUACUGUAUAUCACAAUGUACAGAUAGCAAGCUCCCUUACCCAAAUAGGAUACAGACAACUAACUAUUUCCUACUCUGUCAAAAGCUAAAAAAUAAUAAUGUUAUAACAGGCAGAGACUAAUUGGUAUACUGGAGAACACUCCCCCAUGUUAUGCCACCUCAGCCCUGUAAUGUAAAAUAAAGGGAAACAUCUAAAAAAGGGCACUUCAUUGGUCAUGGUAUAUGGAAGGACCUAGUUAGUCAGGUGCAGCCAAGGGUGCUUAUCUGGGACACAAGUCGGGUGCCCUUCUACCAAUCAGAAUCACAGUAGGUGUGUCAUUAUCAUCAUUAACUCUCAGCAGCCAAACACGUGAGACACAAUCCCACUUUCUUCCCUCAUAGACUUGCAAAUGACAAAGCUUUGGCAAUUUCUGAUGCUAGUUCUUGGCUAUUUUUUGUGUCGGGGCAGGGCAGAGGUGGUCAAUCAAGCGAAGAAGCUGGUAAUUAUAAAUCUUGGAGAUCCAGCAGAAAUGCCAUGUUAUCAGAGCAGGUCUGACUUCUACAACAUGUACUGGUACCAGCAGAAGCCUGGAGAAGGCCUGAAGCUGAUUGUCUGGUCAACCGAAGUUGAUGAUUAUAACAUGGAAGAUGCAUACAAGGAAACGUGCAACCUGACUCGGAAAAACAUUCACAAUUCUACACUAAGGCUAAAAUCUGCAACUAAGGAAGAUCAGGCUGUGUAUUUCUGUGCAGCUAGUUUACACAGAAGCUUAAACCAACACUGUACCUGUCACUAAAUAUCAGGCAUGGACAGUUUGUGUUCACAUUGCAAUCCUGCCGCUAGGGUGCCUACAUUACUAAUAUAUUUUUCAUUUUUUUUUUGUCGUUGUUUUCCCUAUCUGUAACCCUUGCAACAGUUCUGUUUUUUUACUGGUCCCACUGGUAAAUAUCAGCCAAGUGUCAACACUACAGCAUUGACAUUCUAUGUUAAAAAGCAACAGUACUAAUAUAUAUUAUAUGCAUAAUAUUUAAUAUUAAAAUAUUAUUUAGCA